UACGGGGGGGGCAAGCGUUGUUCGGAAUUACUGGGCGUAAAGGGCUCGUAGGUGGCCCACUAAGUCAUACGUGAAAUCCCUCGGCUUAACCGGGGAACUGCGUCUGAUACUGGAUGGCUUGAAUUCGGGAGAGGGAUGCAGAAUUCCAGGUGUAGCGGUGAAAUGCGUAGAUAUCUGGAGGAAUACCGGUGGCGAAGGCGGCAUCCUGGACCGACAUUGACGCUGAGGAGCGAAAGCUAGGGGAGCGAACCGG
rnacentral:rRNA from 1 species